AGAAACUACAGACGAAACUACAGAGGAAGGCGGACCUAUCAAAGAAGCACCUGAAAGAAGCCUGCCUUGCCAUCCGCUGCCUCCUAUCACUCAGAAACAGGAUCAGUACAAGCUUAUGCUGUUGAGGCCCAGACUUCUGCAAUGCCAGACCAGGCUGUACAACAGAAAGGUCCAGGUGUUGAGGACAGAUGGCUAUGGGGGAGGGCUGGAGCUACACAGGGAGAGGGAGAAAUGUUCAGGACACCAAAGGACCAGAAGAAAGAUGAUUUGACAGCUGCAUGGACUGUUAUCAUCUGUGUGUGGCAAGGACUGUUUGUUGC